GUAAUACAAUAUUAUACAUUAUUUUUUAGAAUUAAAAAAUACAUAUAAUAUCUUAUCCGCGCGUAGCGCGGUUAAAAAAUCUAGUCUUAAAUAAAAUUUUAUAGUUCAAACACUAGAGUCAUUCUAAGUAAUUUAUAUUUAAUAAAUGAAUAUCUUAAAAUAAAAUUUUAUAGUUCAAACACUAUUUUUGUAUUUUCAGCUUUAACUAGAAACGGUAUAUUUAUGUUUAUAAUCAAGUAGGAUUAACAUUUCAUUGUAGAGAAAUUAAUACUCCCUCUCUUAUAAAAUAUUUGUUGAAAUGAUGGUUUCAGCUGUUUUAAUUUCGUUUCUAUAUAUUUAUGUGAUAUAGAGAAUAAUAACAAAACAUGUAUUCGACAGUUGAAACAUGUUUACGUAUAUGAUAUCAGCAUGCCACUGUUGCUCACCGUGACUAUUAUUAACUUGCGAGAAUAGCUAUCUCGGCACAUUUCUAUAGUUGAUGGUAAAUAUUGGUGGCAUAAGAGGAUACUAAUGCUUUUUGGUUUCAUUAAUGUAUCAGUUUAACUUUUUUAUUUUUUGUCAAAAAAAAAAAAAUCGAACCGAGCCAACAAACACACAUAACAACAACAACAACAAAAAAAACUAAAAUAAAAUACAGAUGUUUAUUUAAUGAAAUACAAGAUUAUUACAGUCUUUUUAUAUUCGAAUAGAACUGACAUAAUUUUCUUGGAAAUAUUGUAAAGAGGAAACAGAAAAGAAAAAAAAGCAGGGGCUUCUUUGUAUGUAUGUUCUGUUGUGCGGUUUGCUUUAUAUUUUAACUCAUCUUCCUCGUUAAAGUAAAUCCCAUUUAUUUCCUUUUUAUUCUUCUUCUUCUUCGUCUUCUUGGGUUUGGCUGUGUAUGUGUGUGUUGAGAUUCAUUCAAUCAAUGGCUUCAAGUGCUUCAAAGUUCAUAAAAUGCGUGACGGUUGGUGAUGGCGCCGUUGGUAAAACCUGUAUGCUCAUCUGCUACACCAGCAACAAAUUCCCUACUGACUACAUACCAACAGUUUUUGACAACUUUAGUGCAAACGUUGUAGUUGAAGGCACCACUGUGAACCUAGGGCUGUGGGACACUGCUGGACAAGAAGACUAUAACAGAUUAAGGCCUUUGAGUUACAGAGGAGCAGAUGUUUUCGUCCUGUCUUUCUCCUUGGUCAGCCGAGCUAGCUACGAGAAUGUUUUUAAAAAGUGGAUCCCUGAACUCCAACACUUUGCCCCUGGAGUUCCAUUAGUCCUUGUUGGUACCAAAUUAGAUCUUCGUGAAGAUAAGCAUUAUUUGGCUGACCAUCCUGGACUAUCCCCUGUAACUACUGCACAGGGAGAGGAAUUGCGUAAGCUAAUAGGUGCGACAUAUUACAUUGAAUGUAGCUCAAAAACUCAACAGUUUUUGAUUCGGCGAUCAAGGAAGUGAUCAAACCGGUGGUUAAACAAAAGGAGAAGACCAAUAACAAGAAGAAGCAAAAGUCUAAUCAUGGCUGUUUAUCAAACGUUCUGUGUGGGAGGAUAGUGACUCGGCACUGAUGAUGAUGGCAAAGCCCACUCUUGGGUUUCUGUUAUAACACAUGUAGAUGGAAUCAUGUAAGAGAGAUGAUUAGCCUCUAAUCAAUCAAUAGUUUACAUUGAAGAGAUACAGAGAGAGAGAGAGAGAGAGCUUACUAUUACUAACUCAACUAUGUUUAACUGUUUCAGUCCACUAUAUUAGCCUUUUUGUUUGUAACAGAGAAUAAAAAAGUUCCGAUGAGAGUCUACUAGACAAGAAACGGCUUGAGAACCUGUAUCAGUCGCAAAGACAGUCAAUGAUCAAAACGCAGAGUUUCAUCAAAACAUCACGGAACAUAAUUCCAAUGGGCCGGAGAAACAGUCUUGCUAAACUUGGGCCUUAACCGGCUCAGAGUAAACAUACCUUUUCCUUUCUUUUUGUUUGCACAUUUUUGAAAAGGACCUUUUGUGUUAUCCACGGUAAACAAGUUGAAAGAUAACACUAUUGCCACACUUAUACAUCACGUCACAAACUAUAGAAACUAGUGUGCAUCAUUACUUAUUUAUUUUCGAGUUGGUGAGAUCGGAGUUCCAUCUUUUCAUUGGGUAUGGGGAACAGAGAAAGACAGGAGCAGAUUGGCUCUUAGAUCUAAACCAACCAUGAGCCAGCCUUUCUGUUUUUUGUUUUCUCAUAAAAUUUGACCCUCCUUACUAUAUAGUGUAUAAUAAAACUAACUCGCUCAUAAAAAAUGCGUUAUAAACUUAUAACUAAUAUUAUCAUUUAUCAACGCGUUUUGAGAAUAGUAACACUUUUCAAACGCCUUACAUCCAAGUGUAAAUCAGACACUGCAGUAUUACGGAUUGUAUAUUUUGAAAACGUGUGUUAUCAUAUCAAUCAAACCCGUCAUCAUGUUAGCUAAAUUGGUUUUUAUGAGAUUGUAAUCUUAUUAAAUUUUGUGGGGAAGAAAAGUAGAGAAGGCACAUGAGAGUUUUUGUAUUGUGUAAUUUCCCAAAGGUACGCCAAAAAAAAGCUUGCUCUCCCACCCCCAUGUGCACCCUCUCCUCAGUCCCCACUUUUUCCCUUUUUCGAUUAAAUUAAUUAGUUGAUUUCUAUUUCAUCUUUUUCUGUCGGCUUUUAAUUUCCUAAAAACACUUUUGUUUGUUUUUUCAUUCUUGUAUCACACUUUUUAGGCCUGGGUUCACACUCACAGUAAUAAUAACUCAAUAAUACUUCCCACUCGUAGGACUACUACAACAAAUUAGAGAAUUUUUGUAACUAUUUUUUGAGCAAAAGAAAUCUCGAAACAAAUUAAACAAUAACUUAUUUUAAAGAUAGACAGCAAAAAAAGAUAGAAUUGAUAUCAAAUCAUGCUACAUAACAAAAUGAUAAAAUUUCAGAACGUUGGUCGAUAUAUAUCAACUUUGACAACAACUUGUGAGUUUCCAAUUUCAAUGAUUAUUAUAGUAUUGAAAACCCGCUCCUACAAAAUACUUGAUGGCUCAAAUACAUGAUUCGCUAAUUAGUGGUUUAAUUAGCAUUCUUGUUUAAUUUUUCAAGCCAGAUUCUCAAUCACGUGCAAAGUUCCUUCAAACAAUCUUAGCUGGUUAGCUAGCCAUCAAUUAAUUACCGAGUUUUCAUGUCGGAUACUCAAAAUUAAUUAUAUAUACUACGUACAUGACUGACUGACGUAAUUAAAUAAUGUAUUCAUAUCUCAUUUCAAAUGUUCAAAUCUUGUGUUUUGCCUUAAAGGCUCGCAUGAAUAACGUGUGAAAGACCAUAUCAAGAAAAUUCGAAUCGAACCCAUUCAACGAAACAUGAGAUUUUUUAAUAUGUUUAUAUUUCGGGUAAAACAGGUAAUUGUUUAUUGUGCAUGCAAAUGUAAAAAGUAUUAGUCUAAAGUGUCUAACACAUACGCGUUUUUGUUUGUGCUGUUUAUAAACGUGGGUUUCCUAUCAUAUAAGUAUUUUACAAAGAAAUAUAAACUUCUUUUUUUGACAACAAAACAUUUAAAGACUCGUAUAAACUCCAUAAAUUAAAUUAGUAAUUUUGCAUCUAUGUGAAUGACGAAAAACAAUUGUUUAUACAUUGCAAUAUAAACAAUAUUUAUACAUUGCAAUUUGUCGGCAAGAUAUAUAUACACAAGGUGAGAGUCAAAACAGCUGUGCUAGUAAUUACCAUAAAUUCAUUUGAAAACGAUGCAUCAUUGACAAAAACAUUGAGCUAGAACUUAAAACAAACAAUAAUAGUAACUGUAAUGUAGAAAAUCAAAAUAAAAUAUAAACAUAGCUCCUCUUAAUAGUAACCUUGUUUAUCUUGAUAAAGUUGUACUCGAGAAGCUUGUUGGCCAAAUUAAAAAUUGAGUCCCAUCAGCCAGUGGAAAUGUGGAAUAUAUCUCGUCCAACUAAAUCGAUUACAAAUAUUGUCGUUUUUACGUUAAAAGUAUAUCUUUAUAAUUGUUUUAUGUAAAGAUCACGGGAUUACAAAUGAAAAAGGUGGACGUGACAUAUAUCUUUUAUGUGUGUUCCUCGUUAUCUCUAGUUUUAUGCUUUAUGUAUACAAUUUAGACAAUACCACUUAAGAUUCUCCAAUCGAGUUUAGUAUAAAAUCAGACCAUGUGGAUGACUUCAAGUGAUGCCCUAUUUACCAUGUUGAUAGUAAUCACAAAGAAUCUAUUCGAUCUACUGUAUCCAAUUUUUUUUUUAAAACACUAUUACUGCAUUGAUAUAUAAAUGUUACAAGCUGAUAAAAGAGGAUCGACAUCAAUCAAAUCGUGCCUAUACAAAAAGGUGGCU